CUUCCGAUCUCACGCCUUUUGUACCCAUGAGGGACUGCGCGCCCGGAAAACAGAUAGUUCAUAUGCAGAUAAUGGUAGAUUUGUAUACAUAGUGAAAAUUUAUUUUCCAACUUCUAUGAUGGGUCAUAUGAUCGGCUUGUACAAUAAAUGUUCGUUAACCAUCAUUAGCGUUUGCCGAAUGGUAUGCGAAUUUCUACCUGACGGACGGGAGGUAUCAAUGUUUCGAAAACAAAAUGCUAAAUUUCUCCUGAACUAUGAAACCGAUAAGAUUCAUUGUAUGCUCAUUCGAAAACUGUUAAACUGGGAAUAUUUUUGGUAGAUUUGACUGAUUGUAGGUAGAAGGGUGUUUGUGUAAUUACCGGUUAAGCAUUUUGCCGACAGUUUGGUUUUGCAC
rnacentral:lncRNA from 1 species